rfam:Triticum aestivum genome assembly, contig: Triticum_aestivum_CS42_TGACv1_scaffold_406424_5BL
UUAAUACUUCCUCCGUCCGAAAAUACUUGUCAUCAAAAUGGAUAAAAGAAGAUGUAUCUAGAACUAAAAUAUAUCUAGGUACAUUCCCUUUUAUCCAUUUUGAUGACAAGUUUUUCCGGACGGAGGGAGUAUUAC